GGCAAAGGUAGAAGAUUAGUAAACAGGAAAUGAAACCUCUUCAAGCAAGGCUUCCUGACUGGAGAGUUGGGUUCCCUCACUGGGUUAACCUGCUUCUGCUUCUAUCCUGUGUUCUCUCUGCCACAGACUGAUCUGUAGACUUAGCCACUCCAUAAAGGACUUCCCAAUGCUCAGCUAUCUAAAAGAAUGGAGUGGACUGAUAAAUAAGAUUGGAGAUAGAUAGGAGAACCAGAUGAUUUCCAGGGUCUGUCAAGGUAUAACAGCAAAGAGGAGAGAGAUUCCUGGUUGGUUGCUAGACCCUGUUAAAUGCUACCUCCCAGGGACUGGGGA